rnacentral:sRNA from 1 species
GUAAUAACACACACGUAUCGACACAUACGCCGGGGUGCCUUGGGAAUUCGUUCUUCGGGGUCGGUUGUAUGGGAUACGUGGAGGCAUAAC